rnacentral:rRNA from 1 species
CUGCAGCUCGAGUGGUGAUCGUUAUUAUUGGGCCUAAAACGUUCGUAGCCGGUUUAGUAAAUGCCUGGGUAAAUCGUGUAGCUUAACUAUACGACUUCCGGGUAGACUGCUAAACUUGAGACCGGGAGAGGCUAGAGGUACUCCUGGGGUAGAGGUGAAAUUCUGUAAUCCUAGGGGGACCACCAGUGGCGAAGGCGUCUAGCUAGAACGGGUCUGACGGUGAGGGACGAAGCCCUGGGGCGCAAACCGGAUUAGAUACCCGAGUAGUCC